ACGGACGUCUCCNUNNGGGGGGACUGCGGAGGGAUCAUUACACAAAUAUGAAGGCGGGCUGGAACCUCUCGGGGUUACAGCCUUGCUGAAUUAUUCACCCUUGUCUUUUGCGUACUUCUUGUUUCCUUGGUGGGUUCGCCCACCACUAGGACAAACAUAAACCUUUUGUAAUUGCAAUCAGCGUCAGUAACAAAUUAAUAAUUACAACUUUCAACAACGGAUCUCUUGGUUCUGGCAUCGAUGAAGAACGCAGCGAAAUGCGAUAAGUAGUGUGAAUUGCAGAAUUCAGUGAAUCAUCGAAUCUUUGAACGCACAUUGCGCCCUUUGGUAUUCCAAAGGGCAUGCCUGUUCGAGCGUCAUUUGUACCCUCAAGCUUUGCUUGGUGUUGGGCGUCUUGUCUCUAGCUUUGCUGGAGACUCGCCUUAAAGUAAUUGGCAGCCGGCCUACUGGUUUCGGAGCGCAGCACAAGUCGCACUCUCUAUCAGCAAAGGUCUAGCAUCCAUUAAGCCUUUUUUUCAACUUUUGACCUCGGAUCAGGUAGGGAUACCCGCUGAACUUAAGCAUAUCAUAANUCGGAANGGAAGUCCGUA
rnacentral:rRNA from 1 species